AGAGAGGCCGUGCGCGCGGCUGGGCCAGGCUGAGGGUCGCAAAGUCUGGCAGGAGAAGGCAUGUGCCCGGGGAACUGGCGGGAGAAUGCAAGAAGGAUCUUGAGGCAGCUAUGACGGGAUAUACAAACGCAGAGUGGCAAAGAAGCACGGGGACCUAGGAGCUGUGCGGACCUUAGGGUGUCAGAUGAGGAGGAAGGAAAAGAAUGAAAACAAAGACAAGGCUAAAGUGGCAGGCAGAGGUUCAUCAGGAAGCAGGGCAGCUCUGUCUGGUCGUCCAGGUUUCCACCAUACUAAGAGGGAGGACUCACCCGUGUUCCACCCACCAAGCUGUGUGCCCUGCCUAGAGGUGGUGACUUUUUCUCAUUUGUCCAAAGGCACUAUAUGAGCUAAAUUGACUGAAGAGCCUCGUGGGCUAAGUAAGGAUUUAAGGUUUUUAUCCUGAAACUGAAGAGAAGCUAAUUGUAUUAGUCAAGGUUCUCUAGAGACACAGAAUCAAUAGGAUAUAUGUAUAUAAUACAUAUGAGAGAGAGAGAGAAAUGGAGAGAGAGAUUUAUUUUAAGGAAUUGUUUCAUUCCGUUGGAAAUGCCGUCGAGUCCAAAAUCUACAGGGUGACCUGACAUGCUGGAGACCCAGAGAAGAUAGCAGUUCGAGUCCAGAGGCAGUCUGCUUGCAAAAUUCCUUCUUCAUCAGAGGCAGCCCAAGCAGACAUGAUCAUCUCCAUCCUUCAGAUGAAGAAAGUGAGGCUCCUGAGGUGGAGAGAUACCUCAGGACGGGUGGGCAGCCAGCUGGGACAGUGGGAGACCGGACCCAGGCUGAUUUUAGCCCCAGCGCAUCAGCGGUUUCACAGCCCUUUGACAACUGCCCUUAAAAAAAAGGUUAUAGAAAAUUUCAAGAAUGAAGAGAGGGAGGAGAGAAAGAAUCUGUAGUUCCCUUACUUUGACACAAUCACUGCUAACAUUUAUUGAAUUCUCUAGACUUUCUUGUGUACCCUUUUCUCAAACAUACAUAAAAUGCAAUAACCUUCCU